rnacentral:lncRNA from 1 species
AACGAAGCAAGAAUGACGGGAAAAGCACAAUUCGGAUGCAAGAAAUAAAUAUCGAGUGGAUAUUUACAUCACUAUUACUUAGUAGAUAUCGAGGCAAGGUACUUAAAUGGGUCAAUGUAAUGAUCCGAGCCAGGUACGCAUAAUAAGAUAACUCUCAUUUAAAUGUAAGACUAAUGAGAGUUAAACGAAGCCUAGAAUAAGUUUUUGAUUACCCUAAUAGGUAAACCAAAUGU